rnacentral:lncRNA from 1 species
UGCUUAUGCAGAUUCGGAUUCAGAAGAAACAGUUGACAGUGACCCACAUGAAAGUCAGUUGGCUGGUGAUGGGAUUGGGGAUGACGGUGGCAUGCGUUAGCUAAAGUUUGGUCUAUGUGUUAUCCAAUAAGAUAGGAAGGCGUGCGAGAGUUUAUGCGUUUUUCCUUUUUCUGUUUCAUGUUUUUUUUUCUUGGAAGACAUCUUUUUUCACUUCUUU